AGACGGAGGGGGCUAGCGUUAUUCGGAAUGACUGGGCGUAAAGCGCGCGUAGGCGGCUUAUUAAGUCAGAUGUGAAAUCCCCGGGCUCAACCUAGGAACUGCAUCUGAUACUGGUAAGCUAGAGUUUUGGAGAGGGAAGUAGAAUUUCAGGUGUAGCGGUGAAAUGCAUAGAGAUCUGAAGGAAUACCAGUGGCGAAGGCGACUUCCUGGCCAAAAACUGACGCUGAGGUGCGAAAGCGUGGGUAGCAAACGGGAUUAGAUACCCCAGUAGUCC
rnacentral:rRNA from 1 species